UGAGUGAAGAAGGCCUUCGGGUUGUAAAGCUCUUUCGCAAGGGAAGAAAACUUACACAAUAACACUGUGUGAGGCUGACGGUACCUUGAUAAGAAGCACCGGCUAACUACGUGCCAGCAGCCGCGGUAAUACGUAGGGUGCGAGCGUUAAUCGGAAUUACUGGGUGUAAAGCGUGCGCAGGCGGUUUGGCAAGUCAGAUGUGAAAUCCCCGAGCUCAACUUGGGAACUGCGUUUGAAACUGCCAGACUAGAAUAUGUCAGAGGGGGGUAGAAUUCCACGUGUAGCAGUGAAAUGCGUAGAGAUGUGGAGGAAUACCAAUGGCGAAGGCAGCCCCCUGGGAUAAUAUUGACGCUCAUGCACGAAAGCGUGGGGAGCAAACAGGAUUAGAUACCCUGGUAGUCCACGCCCUAAACGA
rnacentral:rRNA from 1 species